UGAAUUGAAACCGAGUCUGUUAGGGUUUGUUUUCUAGUAGGGGUUUAAAAGACAGUUCCGCCCUUGGCUGUCCUGGCAAAUUUUGGGACACAAAUUCUUUGCGAGCGAUCUUUCUUCGCCAUAUUACACUACUGGAAAAAUCAUUAGCGGAAGGUAACCAUUUAGUACUAACAUAUAAUUUUACAUCGUGGUUCUACGGUGGAAUCCAACGGUUUGAUAAGCCCCAACCAAACGAUUUCAAGGUCAUCUCAAGCCCCAACCAAACGAUUUCAAGUUCGUAUCAUGUUCCAGUCAUUGGCGGCGACAAGCAGCGUUGACGAUUGAACUAAAGAAGAAAUAAAAAAACUAUGUAGAUUUAAAAUUAUACGCAAAGACAUGGUGUUUCAAUCGACUAUGUUUUCAAAUCUUAGUUGAACCCGACAGAUAUGAAAACCUUGAUCGCCCUCUCUCUCUCUAGCUUUCAACAUAGCGACUCCAAUUUCCCACUUUCCAAAUUUCAUCCGAUAAAAAUCAACAAUACCCAUAGCUAUCAAUUAGGUGAAGGUGAAGUGCAACUAAACACCAUCGGAAGGAAUAGGAAUAUCUAAAGCAAAGUCAACAAAAAACAAGUGAAAAGCCCAAAUCAGACCUAGGGGUAUCCGAACUCCUACCUUCCACUUCCAUCUGAGAGAGGAGGCGGCGAUGGUGAUCUACUGCAAAAUCAACAAAAAGAAGUGAAAAGCCCAAAUCAGAUCUAGGGUAGCCGAACUCCUACCUUCCACUUCCAUCUGAAAGAGGAGGCGACGGCGGUGAUCUACUGCAAAAUCAACAAAAAAAAGUGAAAAGCCCAAAUCAGAUCUAGGGAUAGCCAAACUCCUACCUUCCACUUCCAUCUGAAAGAGGAGGCGACGAUGGUGAUGUACUGCAAAAUCAACAAAAAAAAAAGUGAAAAGCCCAAAUCAGAUAUAGGGGUAGCCGAACACCUACCUUCCACUUCCAUCUGAAAGAGGAGGCGACGGUGGUGAUCUACCGCAAAAUCAACAAAAAAAAGUGAAAAGCCCAAAUUAGAUCUAAGGGUAGCCAAACUCCUACCUUCCACUUCCAUUUGAAAGAGGAGGCGACGGUGGUGAUCUACUGAAAAAUCAACAAAAAAAGUGAAAAGCCCAAAUCAGAUCUAGGGGUAGCCGAACUCCUACCUUCCACUUCCAUCUGAAAGAGGAGGCGAUGGUGGUGAUCUACCGCAAAAUCAACAAAAAAAAGUGAAAAGCACAAAUUAGAUCUAAGGGUAGCCGAACUCCUACCUUCCACUUCCAUCUGAAAGAGGAGGCGACGGUGGUGAUCUAUUGCAAAAUCAACAAAAAAAAGUGAAAAGCCCAAAUCAGAUAUAGGGGUAGCCGAACACCUACCUUCCACUUCCAUCUGAAAGAGGAGGCUAUGGUGGUGAUCUACCGCAAAAUCAACAAAAAAAAGUGAAAAGCCCAAAUCAGAUCUAGGGUAGCCGAACUCCUACCUUCCACUUUAAUCUAAGAAAGUGCAACUAAACACCAUUAAAAAAGCAUAUCUACUCCAAAAUCAACAAAAAAGAAGAAGCAAAAAACCCAAAUCAGAUCUAGGGUAGCCGAACUCCUACCUUCCACUUCCAUGCGAGAGAGGAGGCGACGGUCGUGAGGUCCAGGACAGCGAAGAGCUCUAGCGAAGGUGCGUAUAUCGCGAUGCUACAUCACCGCACCGUGGAAAAGGGAGAGAAACCCCUACAUCUAAAAAGAUAGGGAAGAGGAAAUCGGAGAAGAGACAGGAAAAUGGGGAAACUUCGGGGGAGGUGGGGAUUAUAAAGGAGAGUUGGAAUGCGGGGUACGCGUGGCUCAUGGGGUCCAUGCUUGCCGCAAGAUUUGCUCACGCGCAGAGUCCACAGUCCACACACUUGCCGUUGUUGGGAACAAUUGAGUACUAGUGUUUUGUUAAUGACAUGGUAUUGUACCUAUAACCAUUUCAAGUCACAUAUAAUGGAUUUUCAAAGAAGUUAUUUGAAAUUCUAAGUUUGAAAUUAAAAUAUUAAUAAUUCAUGCACUGAAUAAACUAGGUGUUAGAAACAAGUUCGAGGCUCGUGGCUCGGCUCGAACUCGCCAAGGCUUGGGUUUCAGCGUCAUACUAUUGGACAAUCGAUCAUGCGAGCUCAUGUAUAAUCGUGUUGAAUCAUAGAAUGUACAUUGGGUGUUGUGAUACGGUACUGGAAGUACAAACCAUAUGAACCAUUGGAAAUCGUAUAUUCUAUGAGUUUUUGCACCGAUAUCAUUUUUGAAGUUCAAAAACAUGUAUCAAACGUCAACUAAAGAAUCCUAACCAAAUUUUCUAGGACAUGUUCUUGAUUCGUUUCAAAGAGCAUCAUGCAAUUUUUGAAGAAAAAAGAAAAUUCAUUAGUCAAACUACAUCUUCUAACUCAACAAUAACACUUAUAAAAAUCUCAACUCUUAAUCUGAUGGAAUAUCCUUAGACCAUUCCAAAGAGGUUUUGACCAUUCAAAAUAUAUUUUAGACG
rnacentral:lncRNA from 1 species